CCUGAACGCGCCUGGACACGCUUGAUCUUAUCUGAUCUCAGAAGCUAAGGAGAGUUGGGCCUGGUUAGUACUUGGAUGGGAAACCAAAUGGUCCCCCAAGUCUGCCAGGA
rnacentral:rRNA from 1 species